rnacentral:rRNA from 1 species
GGAAAGACCCCGUGAACCUUUACUAUAGCUUGACACUGAACAUUGAGCCUUGAUGUGUAGGAUAGGUGGGAGGCUUUGAAGUGUGGACGCCAGUCUGCAUGGAGCCGGCCUUGAAAUACCACCCUUUAAUGUUUGAUGUUCUAACGUGGACCCGUGAUCCGGGUUGCGGACAGUGUCUGGUGGGUAGUUUGACUGGGGCGGUCUCCUCCUAAAGAGUAACGGAGGAGCACGAAGGUUGGCUAAUCCUGGUCGGACAUCAGGAGGUUAGUGCAAUGGCAUAAGCCAGCUUGACUGCGAGCGUGACGGCGCGAGCAGGUGCGAAAGCAGGUCAUAGUGAUCCGGUGGUUCUGAAUGGAAGGGCCAUCGCUCAACGGAUAAAAGGUACUCCGGGGAUAACAGGCUGAUACCGCCCAAGAGUUCAUAUCGACGGCGGUGUUUGGCACCUCGAUGUCGGCUCAUCACAUCCUGGGGCUGAAGUAGGUCCCAAGGGUAUGGCUGUUCGCCAUUUAAAGUGGUACGCGAGCUGGGUUUAGAACGUCGUGAGACAGUUCGGUCCCUAUCUGCCGUGGGCGCUGGAGAACUGAGGGGGGCUGCUCCUAGUACGAGAGGACCGGAGUGGACGCAUCACUGGUGUUCGGGUUGUCAUGCCAAUGGCACUGCCCGGUAGCUAAAUGCGGAAGAGAUAAGUGCUGAAAGCAUCUAAGCACGAAACUUGCCCCGA